rnacentral:rRNA from 1 species
UGAGGCAAUAACAGGUCUGUGAUGCCCUUAUAUGUCCUGGGCUGCACGCGUGCUACACUGAUGCAUACAACAAGUGCCCAACCAGACAUGGUACGGCAAUCUCGAAUAUGCAUCGUGAUGGGGAUAGAUCUUUGUAAUUAUAGAUCUUGAACGAGGAAUUCCUAGUAAGUGCAAGUCAUCAUCUUGCAUUGAUUAUGUCCCUGCCCUUUGUACACACCGCCCGUCGCUCCUACCGAUACCGGGUGAUCCGGUGAACCUUUUGGACUUGUAUGAGAAAGAUAAGUAAACCAUAUCACCUAGAGGAAGGAGAAGUCAGUAACAAGGUUUCCGUAGGUGAACCUGCGGA